GUAGGUCACGAGCGUUGUCCGGAAUUACUGGGUGUAAAGGGAGCGCAGGCGGGUAUGCAAGUUGGGAGUGAAAUACAUGGGCUCAACCCAUGAACUGCUCUCAAAACUGUGUAUCUUGAGUAGUGCAGAGGUAGGCGGAAUUCCCGGUGUAGCGGUGGAAUGCGUAGAUAUCGGGAGGAACACCAGUGGCGAAGGCGGCCUGCUGGGCACCAACUGACGCUGAGGCUCGAAAGUGUGGGUAGCAAACAGGAUUAGAUACCCUGGUAGUCCACACCGUAAACGAUGAUUACUAGGUGUUGGAGGAUAGACCCCUUCAGUGCCGCAGUUAACACAAUAAGUAAUCACCUGGGGAGUACGACCGCAAGGUUG
rnacentral:rRNA from 1 species